rnacentral:rRNA from 1 species
AUUGAACGCUGGCGGCAGGCCUAACACAUGCAAGUCGAAUGGUAACAGGAAACAGCUUGCUGUUUCGCUGACGAGUGGCGGACGGGUGAGUAAUGUCUGGGAAACUGCCUGAUGGAGGGGGAUAACUACUGGAAACGGUAGCUAAUACCGCAUAACGUCGCAAGACCAAAGAGGGGGACCUUCGGGCCUCUUGCCAUCAGCUGUUCCCAGAUGGGAUUAGCUAGUAGGUGGGGUAACGGCUCACCUAGGCGACGAUCCCUAGCUGGUCUGAGAGGAUGACCAGCCACACUGGAACUGAGACACGGUCCAGACUCCUACGGGAGGCAGCAGUGGGGAAUAUUGCACAAUGGGCGCAAGCCUGAUGCAGCCAUGCCGCGUGUAUGAAGAAGGCCUUCGGGUUGUAAAGUACUUUCAGCGGGGAGGAAGGGAGUAAAGUUAAUACCUUUGCGCAUUGACGUUACCCGCAGAAGAAGCACCGGCUAACUCCGUG